rnacentral:rRNA from 2 species
AGGUGUGAUCCUACCAGCACUAAUGCACCGGAUCCCAUCAGAACUCUACAGUCAAGCGUGCUUGGACGAGAGUAGUACUAGGAUGGGUGACCUCCUGGGAAGUCCUCAUGUUGCACCUC